rnacentral:rRNA from 1 species
AACGCUGGCGGCGUGCUUAACACAUGCAAGUCGAACGAGAAGAGAUGAGAAGCUUGCUUCUUAUUGAUUCGAGUGGCAAACGGGUGAGUAACGCGUAAGCAACCUGCCCUUCAGAUGGGGGACAACAGCUGGAAACGGCUGCUAAUACCGAAUACGUUCUUUUUGUCGCAUGGCAGAGGGAAGAAAGGGAGGCUCUUCGGAGCUUUCGCUGAAGGAGGGGCUUGCGUCUGAUUAGCUAGUUGGAGGGGUAACGGCCCACCAAGGCGACGAUCAGUAGCCGGUCUGAGAGGAUGAACGGCCACAUUGGGACUGAGACACGGCCCAGACUCCUACGGGAGGCAGCAGUGGGGAAUCUUCCGCAAUGGACGAAAGUCUGACGGAGCAACGCCGCGUGAGCGAUGACGGCCUUCGGGUUGUAAAGUUCUGUUAUACGGGACGAAUGGCGUAGCGGUCAAUACCCGUUACGAGUGACGGUACCGUAAGAGAAAGCCACGGCUAACUACGUG